UUCGCCGCUUGCGAUGUCAUGAGAAGUCCACUGAACCUUAUCAUUUAGAGGAAGGAGAAGUCGUAACAAGGUUUCCGUAGGUGAACCUGCGGAAGGAUCAUUGUUGAAAAUCCGAACGAGGAGGACUGUGAACGUGGUCAUCGAAUGUUUUCGGGUUGGGCCCCUCUUCGGUCCGACGUAGUCCCUCCCCUUGCGGUGCGAACGAUCGACCAAAACUCCGGCGUGAUGGGCGCCAAGGAAUAUGAAACUCGCGGGCGGGCUGGACUUUGUCAUGGUUGCGCUCUAUAGUUUUGCUCGGAAUCGAAUGACUCUCGGCAACGGAUAUCUCGGCCCUCGCAUCGAUGAAGAACGUAGCAAAAUGCGACACGUGGUGUGAAUUGCAGAAUCCCGCGAACCAUUGAGUCUUUGAACGCAAGUUGCGCCCGAGGCUUUCCCGCCGAGGGCACGUCUGCCUGGGUGUCACGCUAUCGUCGCUCUGCGCUCCCUCAACCCCACGCACGAGUGGCGGUGUCGGAUGUAGACAUUGGCCCCCCGUGCCCCUGGGCGCGGUCGGUCGAAGAGAGGGCCGUCGCUAUUGGUUGGACACGACGGGUGGAGGUGCCUUGAGCAUGCUGAAUGUCGUGCCCUCGCUGUGGAUAUGAGCUUUAGAGGACCCCUCACCCCACCAUAAUCGUUUGCCUCGGAUUGCGACCUCAGGUCAGGUGCGGCCACCCGCUGAGUUUAAGCAUAUAAAUAAGCGGAGGAGAAGAAACUUACGAGGAUUCCUAUAGUAACGGCGAGCGAAUCGGGAUCAGCCCAGCUUGAGAAUCGGGCGGCUGCACCGUUCGAA
rnacentral:rRNA from 1 species